AUGGCCGCAGAGUGUCCCACAGAUGGGGAACACCUGAGUGGGUUGAAGUCCCACAGAGCCCCUACCCGCCUGCACAGCAUCCUGCAGCAGCUCCAGCUGCUGCCCGGGCAGAGACAGGUCACUCCGGUCUUUCGCCUCUGUCUCCACAUCUACCCCUGGGUGGGGACAGCCAAGGGAGAGCCCCUUACACCCCUGUGGGCAGACAGGGCAGAGAGGCACCGACCACCUCAGAGGUGGCUCAUGGGCAGCCCCUCUCUCCCAGAUCACUCCCCUUCCUCUGGCAGUGCCCACCCAGUGCCCUCCCACUCCCACCUACCUGUGCCCAGGCAGACCAGCACCACAUCAGCUGCCCUCACCACCCUCAGCAGCUCUGCCCGGGAGUACAGCUUGCACCGUGGCUCGCUGCAGCCCGCUGUGAAGCUGACAUUGGCCCCCAGCAUCUCCAGCCCCCUCCUGCACCAGGGAAGAGAAGAGGACACGUGCAGCUGUGCCCCAGGGCCGGGGCACAAUGGGGACAGCCCCCUUGCCUGGCCACUAGCCAAGGGCCAAGCACUAGCCCCGCCCCCGCCGCCAUUUCCCGCCCGCGGUCCCGCUCCCCUCCCAGCAGCAGCCCUGGAAAGUUCCCAGAAAAGGGAAACAGUGACCAGGAGAGGGAGACAUGAGGUGGGACCGCGCUGUCUCACCGGGGGGUGUAGAUGUACUGAGGAUCUGGCACUGGUGCAUAGUCCCCAAACAGUACCCGGGGAUUGUCAGCAAAGGGACCCACGACCUGCAGCGGGCAGAGGGGUGAGGGUGGGCACCAGCAGCCCUGUGACACCUGUGUGUGGACCCNGCAUGUCCCCCUGCCCACCCCCUUGCAGGGGCUCACCGCGAGGUGCUGGCCAGACAGGUCCUGGGCCCGCAGGGGCAGUGUCCCCCGCACGUUCUUCAGCAGCACAAAGCUCUUGACGGCAGCUUCCAGCGAGAGGUUGCGGUGCUCGGGGCUCUGCACCACACUCAGGUCCAGGGAGCUGUAGGGGUUCAUGGCUGGGGGGGCAAACUCCCCCAGCCGCAUCCGUGUGUAGAAGAGGGGCCGGACUCGGUCACGCAGCAUCUGUGGAGACCCCAACCCAACACCUCAGUUGUGACUGGCAGGGGCAGCCCAGGCUCUCUGCCCACAGCCCUGGUCCCACUCCCCUCAGCUCACCUGCAGUGUGAUGUUGCCCAUGGCCAGAGCCUCAGGGAUGUGCAUGAAUACGUUGUUCCUCAUGCCAUAGGAGAGCUCCAGGUUGCAGCCAGCGUUCACCGAGGCUGCCGUGCCAGGGAGAAAGGAGAACUCCCAUCAUGGCUGUGUCAUGCCUGGGGACCGACCCCAUGCCCAGCCCAUGAGCUCACCAACCGCUGUCUCCAGAAAGCUGUGUGUGUAGUGGUGCCCUAGCAUGAUGAGCUCCACAGCCCCCUCGUCGCUCACCACGUAGCCAUCAAAGCCCCACUCGCCACGCAGGAUGUCCGUCAGCAGCUUCUUGUUGGCACAAGCAGGAACACCGUUGAUCCUGUUGGAGAGGGGAUGGGGCAGCCAGGAGAGCAAGGCACUGGCCAUGCCAAGGGCAGCCCAGCCCAUGUGGCCCCCGCCAUGCUCCACACCUGUUGUAGCUGCACAUGAAGCUGUAGGAGCCAGCACGCACACAUGCCUGGAACUGGGGCAGGAAGGUCAUGCGCCAGUCCCGCUCCAGCACCUGCAAACACCAUGGCAGAGUGGGGUCAGCACGUGGAGUGUCCCCUGCCCUCUUAACACCCCCUGCCCCGCUGUGCUCACCUUGGCAUCGAAGCUUAGCCUGGAGACGGGGAUGUUCUCAGGGCCUCCGUGCACACUGAAGUGUUUGCAGCCAGCACUGGCCUUAACAUAACGGGGGUGCUGACCCUGAAGCCCCUGCACAAAGCUACGGGCCAGCUCCCCAAUCAGGAAUGG
rnacentral:lncRNA from 1 species